rnacentral:rRNA from 1 species
UACAGAGGGUGCGAGCGUUAAUCGGAAUUACUGGGCGUAAAGCGCACGUAGGUGGCUUUGCAAGUCAGAUGUGAAAUCCCCGGGCUUAACCUGGGAACUGCAUUUGAGACUGCAUUGCUAGAGUAUGGGAGAGGGCAGUGGAAUUUCCGGUGUAGCGGUGAAAUGCGUAGAUAUCGGAAGGAACAUCAGUGGCGAAAGCGACUGCCUGGACCAAUACUGACGCUCAUGUGCGAAAGCGUGGGGAGCAAACAGG